rnacentral:rRNA from 1 species
UGGGGAAUAUUGCACAAUGGGCGAAAGCCUGAUGCAGCAACGCCGCGUGGGUGAUGAAGGUUUUCGGAUUGUAAAGCCCUGUCUUUUGGGACGAUAAUGACGGUACCAAAGGAGGAAGCCACGGCUAACUACGUGCCAGCAGCCGCGGUAAUACGUAGGUGGCGAGCGUUGUCCGGAUUUACUGGGCGUAAAGGGUGCGUAGGCGGAUAUUUAAGUGGGAUGUGAAAACCCCCGGGCUUAACCUGGGGACUGCAUUU